rnacentral:rRNA from 1 species
UACGUAGGUGGCAAGCGUGAUCCGGAAUUAUUGGGCGUAAAGCGCGCGCAGGCGGUUUCUUAAGUCUGAUGUGAAAGCCCACGGCUCAACCGUGGCGGGUCAUUGGAAACUGGGGAACUUGAGUGCAGAAGAGAAAAGCGGAAUUCCACGUGUAGCGGUGAAAUGCGUAGAGAUGUGGAGGAACACCAGUGGCGAAGGCGGCUUUUUGGUCUGUAACUGACGCUGAGGCGCGAAAGC